rnacentral:lncRNA from 1 species
AAGUAUUUGGAUAGCAUAACAAAAACUCCUUCGUCAUUUCAAUUCUCAAUAUAUGCCAAAUGCAAACCAAUAUGAUUAAUGCACAAAAAUUACACAUGGUAUCUCUUGACCGCCUCGGAGCUGAUGGUCAUUUUCACACAUUAUCCUGUUAUAUCUCUCAUAUAUAAUACACCAUUGGGCAACACUCUCACACUUAUUACCACGAUCCGCCCCAUGUCAACUUGGUCCACUUGCUUUUAGGAUUUAUUUAUAUUCUAUCUUCCCUAGUUUCACAUGGUUCGGGCAUCAAACAAUCUCAAAACGUCCCAAUCUGUUCUUAUUUCAUCAAGUGCCCUAUUCAUUUUCAAAAUGGUCUCCUUGUUUCGCAACUUUUGAAGAUCAGACUGAGAAUUAUGCCUGCAUGUCACGUCACUAGAACCGACAAAAGGAAAAACAAAAGGAUAGAAAAGAAGUAAAUAAAGAAAAUGAUUGGGCGUAACAACGGAUCGGAAUUUUCAUUACACAAAUGAUGAAACCAUUCAAAUAACAAAACAAAAAAAAACAGGAGUACAACCCUAGAAUGAACUCAAACAAACCUGGACAAACCUAAACAAACCACUAUGACUAAAUAAGCUAGACAAAAAAUGAAAGGAUAAGAGGGUUUGAUCAUAAGAGAAUAUACGGAUUACAACCCUGCAAAUAACUCGGUUAGCAAAAAUGACAGCAAAAUAGACCACCAAAGCUCCGCCUCGGCUGACCUAGGAAUGGAGCGUCUUUCCAAUCACUAAGCACGGUAUCUUAGCCACUGAAUUCUGCAUCAACAAUACUAAGACCUUCAAAUGACAUUUCCAGGUCAAUCAUAUCUGUCAUAUGCAUCUCAUGUUGCAUAGGCGAUGGACUUUGGUUGGUAUCUGCUACAUCUAGAUUUGGCACAAUAAUGUCGCAUGCAUUAACAAGCUCCCGAAUUGCUUUCUUUAGCUUCCAACAAUUUUCUAUGUCAUGGCCCGGUGCAUCUAAGAAAUAUGCGCACCUUUGAAGAGGAUCCCACAUCCUUGACAUAGAGUUUGGCAUUUUUAUCUGAACUGGUUUCAACAUGUCCAAUUGCUUUAACUUUUGGAAAAAACUGGCAUAUGAUCCUUUCACGGAGGUAAAAGCCUUUCCUUUCUUCGGUAACUUUUCAUUACUAAAUGCCUAAUUUGGCCAGAAACCUGAUCUAGGGGGUUUCUGACAGGUUCAUGUGGGUAGAUAAGCAUGUUGUGGAGCCGGGUUCCGGGAAGGUGAUAUGCGACCCUAGGGGUUCUGUGGAGAGAUGUAGCAUUAGGGCAGAUCACCUGGUGUGCAAGUAUAUCCACAAAGGCAAUUUCGGGACUGGGAGUGUUCAUCAGGAGAACUCAUCGGAUUAUCUUUUCUGCUUUUCCCUCCCCCACCCAAGUUCGAUGGGGUGUUCUGAAUGUCUUUCGACCAAUUCGCGAUUUUGCCUAUAUUGAUUCCCAUUUCUACUAACUCCCCCAUUCUUAAAACCUCAUCGAAAUGUCUACCCACCGCUGGAAUCAAAUGAUUUAAGUAGAUGGGCUCUAGACUUGUAGGAAAAGCUUGACCAUCCCCUCUUCGCCAAUCAGGGUACUGACUCGAGCAGCUUGUUCCCUCCAUCUGAGUCCAAACUCCCUGAAGCUUUCCUCCAGCUUCUUUUCCAUCUUAGAUAGGGAGGAACGAUCUAGGGUAACGCUUGAUUUGCAUUGAAAGCAGCGGACAAAGUCUCGAGCCAUGUCACCCAAUGUAGGCCAUCUCUUAACAUCUUGAUGAUCAUGCAAGUCCAAAGCUGCCACAAUCAGGCUCUCACUGAAAUGUGCGAUCAUCAAGUCAUUUUUCUCACCCAUACUUCUCAUUUCACUACAAUAAACCUUCGGGUGAGCCAUAGGAUCCCCAAACCCAUCAUACAACCUGAAUUUUGGUAUUUUAAACCCUAUGGUUAGGCGACUAUCGGGAGAUACGGAUGGUUCUUUCAUCUUCUUGGGUACCCCAUCUACCCAUUCCCUUAUGAACUUUCCAUUUUCGAUAUAAGGCUUAUCCUACGGGCCCUGCUUGUGCGGGUUGGGAACCCUGUAAGGAACCUCGCAGUGGUAAUAUUGGGCGUUAUGAGUUUUGGGUAGGUGUUCAUGGUUGAGAAGAAUAAAUGUGACCGGAAGGCACUUUUGGGAAAAGAUAGUUGGAUGAUGAGUGGUGGGGCUAAUGGGGUGGUUGAAAAAGCUGUGAUAAAUGGGUAAAUCUGGAGAGUGUGGAGGAUCAGCAUGCCUUGUGUUUGGUGUUAGGGUAAGGACACGUCUAGGAAGAUGGGCGGUGGUGGGGGUUUCAUCCAUGAUCAGUACAUGUAUGCCACGUGCUAUCUCAAUACUUUUACCUCUUAUACCAACCCGUUAUCCGGUUCAGCGAGGUGUUUUCAGGCAUUGGUACCAACCCACUCAGUUCCGUUGUUUUCUGCCAUUAUCUUUUGUGUUGCAAGGAAGCAUUACCUUAGAACCACAAACCAACCACCUUUCUGAAGUGACAUGCUAAAAAUGAAACCAUCAUGCUACCGUUAAGGCAUUUAACAUAUGUGUAAUCGCACAUUUGAGGAAUGAAUGCACCUAAGCAGUUGAUCACUUCUAUUAUGCCUUUCGUAACGUAUGCAUCAUCCCGACACUUUCUCAUUUGUGAUUGCAAACUUUCUCUCUCUAUUUUUGUUCCUCUUUUCUCUCUCUUUUCUCUCUCUUUUCUUUCUUUUUCUCUCAUUUCAGUCUUGCCUCUUUUUUAUUUCUUUUUCUAGUUUUUCCGCUCUUUUCUUUUCGCCUUUGUUUUUUCCUCAUUUUCUUUCUUCUCUCUUUUCUUUGUUUUUCCUCCUCUUUUCUUUUUCUCUCUUUUAUUUGGUUACGGUUGAAUCAUAUGUGGAUUGCCUAUGUAUCAUGACCCCGCAUGAAUCAGGCCGAGUGUAGCUCGUGCAUAUAAAAGGUAGACAACAAUAAAAUAUUUUUUUGGAAUUUUACAAUUUUUGUUAAAAAACUAACAAUCUUAAGGACGAAAUACAUACUCGAAAAUCAAACGACCCGCAUAUUCUACUCAAAAGAACUAUAAAAACAAAAUGACAAAUUCCUUCCCCUAUAGGCCGAUUUUAAACCAAAUGACUAUUUUUCCAAACGUGGCCCCUUUCCAAUUUCACAUGAAUUUUGAGACCGUGAAGGAUUAUUUUAUGGAAUUCCACAAACCUGUUCGUUCUUUUACGAAAAUAGCCUUUCGACAACUGAAAGAUACUCUAAGGCUAUGUCGGCAAGAAUGGUUUAAGACACCAUCGACACUAGUUCGGCUUAUUUUGACCAAAAAUUCCAAAACAACAUUCACUUGACCACUGACUCAUUUUCUUAUUUUUCAUAUUAAAAUAAAAGACCCGAUUUUGUAAUCACAACCUUCUAGCUCCUCGGGGACGAAGAUUUUGAGGCUGCGUUAGCUAAUCGGUCAAAAUCUAAAAAAUGACCAAAGACUGCUGUUUAUACAAAAUCCACCUUCCGGCGUUCCUUUAGGGAACGUUCGACUAUUUUUCAUAAAAACGGCAUCACCCGAUUUAUUUACAACUCUUUUCUUCAAAAUAAAAUAAAUGACCCGGUAUUGCAAACACGGCCUUUUAGCGCCCCAGGGACGAAGACUUAAGGUUGUGAGGGUCAAGAAAUCAAAACUUGAUCAAAGGUGGCAAUUUAUGCAAGUUAACCUUCCGGCGUCCCAUUUGGGAAAUUUGGCUAUUUUUGCACAAACGGCAUAAGCCGACUUAUUUACGACGAAAAUUUAAAAUUUUGACAUUUUUGGCUAUUUUGCAAAAGGUGAGGUUGGACCUGAUGAGGGUUGCCUAUGUAUCUCACGCCCUGUGAGAAUCAAAAAAUGCAUAGUUCGGGUAAACUAACCAAACUAUUUUAAAACAGGACUCUUUCUCAUUUUUAUUUUUGGCAUUUCAAAUAAAAAAAACUACUUUUAAAAAUAAAACUCUUUCUUUCUUUUUCUUUUUCAACAAAUAAUAAAACAGCCUCUUUUUUCAAACUAAAAAAAAAGAAUCUUUGCCUUUUCUUUUUCAAUAAAACAACCUAUUUUUCCAAUCUAAAAAUAAAAGACUCUUUUUCUUUUUCUUUUUCUUUUUCAACAAACGAGAAAACAACUUAUUUUUCCAAACUAAAAAUAAACGACUCUUUUUCUUUUUCUUUUUCAACGAACAAAUAAACAACCUAAAAAUAAAAGACUCUUUUUCUUUUUCUUUUUCUUUUUCUUUUUCUUUUCCCUUUUCAUUAACACAAACUAUUUAAACAUAAAAUAUUUUCUAUUUCAUUUUCUCAAAGUUUCGUCAGAGAUUCGACAGUAUUUGGGCAUUUGUUUUUUCCUGAAAAUAUGCAAUUAAAUUUCUAUACUAUUAUUUCUAUCUUUUUCUCACUUUCACAAUAUCCCCGAUAUUCAAAAUCCGGUCAGCAUGCAGCCCGAAACAAAUAAAUGCACAGAACAUAAGUAGGAUGCGUCAAGAUGGUCUUUUUCAUUCCAGGUUCCUAGCCUUUGAUGGACCCAACCCCUGUGUUGCGUCCCCUAAGUCAAAAUGCACAUGAUGCAAAUAAGCGUUCUUAUUAGGAAUCCGACAUGAAGUUGAGUUAUUCUAGGUUCAUAGCCUGAGGGUUUGAUCUAAACCUCGCUUACCCGAGUGGACAGCUCGAGCCGGGGGAGAGGCAGCGUACCGAGAAUAUAGAAGCUUCACCGGCUUUGCAACUUAUUCAAACCUCAUCCUACAUUGGGAAUCAGACACUAUACAGAAAAUAAGUCACACGAAGUGCACCCUUCUUCAUGGUUUAGAAGACUCAGUGAGAAGAUGGGUUUCGACACAAUUUAUAUACAAUUCACGGAAUAUAAAAGCGGUAAAAGCAGUAAAUUAGCACAUUAAGCACAUAUCAUGUAACAAAAUCAGAUAAAGCCAAACACAACAAUUAUUAUAAGCUUGAAUUAUGAACACUGAAUAAGAGAUUCUGGGUUCGAUCCCAGCAGAGUCGCCAAAGUUGUCACACCUCCUUUCUCACUACACCCGCAAGGGCGUAAAGGAGUUUUUCCAAUUAAAGGAAAUUUGGAACGGGAUUUAUUAUUAAUUAUUCAGAGUUGCCACUUGGGAGAUUAAUGGUGUCCCAAGUCACCGAUUGAAUCCCAAACCGAGGAAAAUAUGACUCUGUUAACAGUCCGCGAAUCAGAAUCUGAGUAAGGACUUCUGUUAACCCGGGAGAAGGUGUUAGGCUUUCCCGGGUUCCGUAGUUCUAGCACGACCGCUCAACUGUCGUAUUUAGCUUAUUUGUAUUAUUUUAUUACAUGAUGAACCUAUAUGCCAAUUUUUAUUUUUAACCGCUUUUAUUUAAUUUUUAAAGAAAGUUGAACGUCGUUCAAAAUGUGUCUUUAGAUCGUGUCACAUGAAAUGAACCCGCCAUCCUGAACAUAUUUUAUUCAACAUUUAAGAAUUUGAUUUAGGUCAUAUAAAAUGCACACCCGAAUUUAUUAAGGUGAAUUAAUAAAAGUGCACCUAAAGUGACUAACGCGUUAUUAUCUUUGGUGAGGGCCGUAAAAUUUGCUAAACGAACCAUUCCGAAUUCUACGUAUUUUAAUAUAACCGUUUAUCAAGGGCCCCACAUUUUAUAUUUUAUUUGGCGAGGCUCGUCUCGUUUUAUUUUAAAGCCGACCUAAAGUAAACUACAAUUUUCUAUUCAGUUGUCUCUAAAUUAAAAGGAAAACCCUACUUAAUUGAAGAUCCCAAAGCCUUAAUACAACUGUAAACAAUUAAGCCCAAGAGUUGCAUAAGUAAAGCAAACCAUUUUAACUAAUAGCCCCAAGUUCAAUGUUCAGGGACGGGGCAGACUGGGCCUCAAGGAAGCCCAAAUGCAUGACAAUACAUAAAGUGGGCCUGGUUUCAGCUUUAACUCCCUGGGAAUUAACAGGUCAUUGAGUCAAAAUUCUCAUCAGCAAAGCUUCAAUGGAUUCACUUAUUACUGAUGAUAUAUUACUUAUUUAUACUACACCAAUUUGACUCAAAAGCUAUUCAUAAGAGUCAUCCUGAUUUGUUAAAAAUGAACGAAUGUGCUAACUCGGACUUACGUGAAAAUACAGGACAUUCUUUGUUUGUUGAAUGCGCACAACUGCGAGUAAUUGACUCACAGUCACAACAUGACUAACAUUGGGCAUGGUUUAAGCAAAUUUAUGAACCUGUUAAUGAGAAAAUAAUUAAAACUAAUGGGAACUAUUAACUUCAACUUUUGCCCCGAAAUGUCAAUAUUAACAUUGAAACAGUGAACUCAGGGAAACCUACUGAACUUAUGGACCAAAUUGAAGUUAAACAAUAAUUCCCAAACAAGUAGGACCUAUUAUCAUUAAGCACCUGCUGGAAACCCAGGUAGUUUAUAUGGUCCAAAGCCAACCAGAACAACUCAAAUUUCAAUAACAAAAGGAGAUCUAGUUGAACAUAACACUAAGCUAAACAAUAGUAAUACUGAAUGAUUCUACCAAUUAACAGCCUUAACAGUCCAAAAUUAGUUCAGUUAGAUAGCCCCAAAUUUCAAGUAAUCAAAUCAUUUCACAAAUUAAAAUUAAAUAGAGAUGAAAUGAAUACAUAAUUCGACUUAAAACAGUAAUUCGAACAACAUUUCUUCAUGUAUUCUCAAACCAAGUUUAUACAGAUCCUUCAAGUUCAUAAGAGGUCAAAAUAUACCUGGAAAUGUAAAAUCACAAGAGAGAAUAGAGAGGUCAGCUAGGUAGCAACAGAUGAGGCAAUCACAGCCAAUCCCAUGCAACGACAAACAACCAAAUAAAGGUAAUUUGACCCAACACAGCUUCACAUUGAACCCAGAAAUGCACACAGAAGAGAAUAGCUAACAGAACACUCAAAACAGAUUCCAAAAACAAAUAUCAACUUUAAAUUAUCGAAAGCAACUCGAAAUGGAACUUAAAAUACUCCUGGAACUUUACUGAUGUAAUGCUCAACCAAAAACCCACUUAAUUUGACUUAAACUCAAACGAAAUGAACACUGACUAAAGCUGGAAUUGAAUAUAUGAAUCAGCAUUCAAAUACAUCAAAAUCAACUCAGAAUUUUCAAUGGAAUAGUAUUCUUUUUUUUGGAUUUUGUGUUAUUUUUUUCUUUUUUUAUUUUUUGUUUUCUGAAGGUUUUGAAAUUUGAAUUUUAGAUUGAGGAGAUCAAAUAUGCAGAAUGCUUUUCGGGGGGAGUUUUUGGAGCUCAAAACCAUGUCAACGAAGUAAAAAGCAUACCCUUUUAUAGCACAAAUGAGGGCAGCCCUUAGAUUUUAAGUUUUCACUCUUAGUCCUUUUUUAACUUUCAUUUUUGCUUAGAUGUCCCUUAUUUCCUGACUUGCUACUCAAGUAAGCCGACUAACUUCCCUGAAAUUACAACUAAAUACAUAUUCUAGAAGGUUCUAGUAUUAGCCACAACAUUUUAUACAAUUAUCAAUUACCCAAAACACCCCUGAAACCCCUGAAAUUACAAACCUUAUCCAAUUGACCCCAACCCCUUCUUUCCCUGAUUAAAAACAUCAACCCAAACCAAUUUACCCUAAAUUCAAUUAACAAAUCAAUUAAUCCUAAGAUUAGACAAUUAUAACAAUAAGAAAUGAUACUGAAAUGAGGAAUUAGUACACUAAGCCAAACAAACUCUUGAAACGAAUUUAACCAAAACAGAGUCAAAUAGCAACGACCAAUUAUAUUUAAUUAAAAUUCAAAGAGAAACAUGGAAGACACUUAACAAACAGGAAAUAACUAAGAUCUGCUCUAAUUAGCAACAAUUAACUAAGAUUCAACUAAACUAAUCAAACAUGAAUAAAAACUACUUUAACAAAUACUGAAUUAUUAGUAGAGAUAAACUAGUUCGUGAGAAUUGGAGAAAAAGAGAAGCAAAAUUCAUUGGUGAAGAAACGCCGGCCACCCAUUAUUUUCUGAAUUCGGCCAAAUGAGAGGACGUUUGAGCGCCUUGGAUUGUCAAGUCUUCAUGCAGAUGAUGAGGGUAUCAUAAUGUGCCAAUUUGGCACGAUUUGGUGCAUUAAGGGUUUCGCCGGAAACCUUUGAAUUCAAAUUCGACGAGUUCCAAAGUGAUUCGAACAAAGCUAAUUGGUGUUUUAGGAUGAUGGUGGAAAAAGGGAAUCAGUGGUGUGAGUUUGGAGGGAUUUGGACGAAGCGGCAUCGUGGCCGGAAAAUAUUCUAAUGAAGAUUCGAAGGUCAUUGUGAGAUCGAGGGAAGGCAAUAGCAGGAAUGGAAAGAGGAGAAAAAGGCGGUUCUACGUUGUAAGUUUCAAGGGGCUUACAGGUGGGCCGCCGCCAGCGGUGAUUUUCGGCUGGCGUUGUUAGGGUGGCGGGUGGCGGAAUCGGCGGAGACAUUGUACUAGGAAGAGAGACUGUUGUUCUUUAGGGUUAUGAUAUUUUCAGACAGUUUUAUAAAAAAUUGAAGAACAAACAGAGGCCGUUGGAUUAGAUUAAAUGAAGGGCUCAGAUUGAAGGCGUUGAAACGACGUCAUUUGGUUUUUUACUGAGGCGGACCGAGUGGACACUUUUGGGCCGGACUGGGGAGUUUUAAGUUUGGGCUAAGACACUUUGGCCCAAUUCAUGUAUAUAACGCAGCCCCUUUUUGUUUAUAUACUUUUGUUCUCUUUUUGCUUUUAUUUCUUUUAUUUUGUAUUUUGUUCAUUUUCUUUAUUUUCAUUUGUA